rnacentral:rRNA from 1 species
CGGACGGGUGAGAAUGUCUGGGAAACUGCCUGAUGGAGGGGGAUAACUACUGGAAACGGUAGCUAAUACCGCAUAACGUCGCAAGACCAAAGAGGGGGACCUUCGGGCCUCUUGCCAUCGGAUGUGCCCAGAUGGGAUUAGCUAGUAGGUGGGGUAACGGCUCACCUAGGCGACGAUCCCUAGCUGGUCUGAGAGGAUGACCAGCCACACUGGAACUGAGACACGGUCCAG